CACCGUGGAACCGGGGUUUGAUGCUGCUCUGGGCGGGUACCUCUGCUCCGUCGUGACGCACAGGCUGACGGACAAGCAGCUGAGGCACCUCAGCAUGAAGACGACGGCACUGGUGGUCACUGCCUCCAUCCUGGGCGGUGCCUUCUCCGGAGAGCAGGUCGGGGCCGAGGUGCCCUUCAGCCCAGGGCUUUACGCCGACCAGGCUGGAAUCCUCUUGAGCAACCAACUCUGAGGUCAAGGUCUUUGGUGCCAUAGAGAUUCUGGAGAACCUGGAGGUGAAAUCGGGGUCCCCGGCUGUGCUGGCCUUCGUGAAGGAGAAGUCUUUGGGGCUUCCCAGCUUCCUCACCUACACAGUCAGUGUCUCGGAUCCCGCGGCCGGCAGCCAGGGGCCUCUGUCCACCGCCCUGACCUUCUCCAGCCCCACGACUAACCAAGCCCUCACCAUCCCGGUCACCGUGGCCUUUGUGAUGGAUCGCCGAGGGCCCGGGCCUUGUGAGUCACGGGACGGGACACCAGCUGGGACGCACCUGGGCAGGGAGGGCCGGGCCGAGCGGUCCUGGCUGUCAGUGGAAACCUGGGAGUCU